CUCUCAAAAAUAAAUAAAUAUUUUUAAAAAUUUGUGUAUUUUAUUGUAUUAAAUAAUACCUCAACAAAAACAUAUAUAUAAUGGGGAAACAAAUCAAUAAUGACUGUAAUGGAUUUAGACACAUUAUAUAUAUCCAUAAUAUUACUGGGGGAAAAAGACCCCACUGGUCAUCUUUGGGGGUUGCUAUGGCACCAAUUCAUUAUUCUACAAAAUGUUUAAAUAAAAGGAAUGAAUUAAGCAUUUACCCUGCCCUUCCUAUUUGAACUGUAUUUCUGAGUAUCCAAAUAGUUGAUGAGGGAAGGUUCCUUUUAAAUAGAAUUACAGCUAAUAAAUGCAGAAUUAAUGCAGAAUUUACAAAUCACCAUUUUGUAGGCCUUAAUGAAAUAAUGGAUCUAGGCAAUGAUCAUUACUGGCUACUAAAACCUUUAGGUGAAAGGUUGAUGAGGAACUUUUAUAAUGGAUGAAUUAGGUUGACGAUACACAAAGCCACUGCUGAAACUCAACAUCACAAAAUGUGAUAAAAACUUGAUAAAGUUUAAUUUAUAAAUUAGGCGCAGUGAGAGAUUAACAGGAAGAACUACUAAUAACUUUAAUAAUUAUGAUAAUAUACUGUAAUAAAAGUUAUGUGAAUGUGGUCUCUCUCAAAAUAUUUGAUCGAAUGGCACUCACCCUUCUUUCUUGCGAAGAUGUGAGAUGAUAAGAUGCCUACGUGAUGAGAUGAAGUGAGCUGACCGAUGUAGGCACUGUGACAUAGCGUUCGGCUACUACUGACCUCCUGAUGACGACAAGUCAGGAGAGUCACCUGUUCCCGGACCACAGUUGACCAUGAAUAACAGAAUCCACAGAAAGCGAAACCCCAGUUAAGGGGGGACUACCGCACAGCUUAGAGAAAAUGGUGGUCAGAAGGAACACAUUAAAGGCAAUAAGAAGAAUCAAUCUUCCAAACCCAGAUUGUGCAAAACUUUCCUGGACAAAGGACGUGGUGUCUUCAACAAAUGAAUGAUAUGAGAAUAAUAAAGGUAGGGAAUGUUCUAGCAACUGUAAGUGUGUGUGUGUGUGUGUGUGUGUGUGUGUGUGGGCGGGGGGGGAGGGUGGCGGACAGAGACAUUCUCAACAGAAUGUUGAGAAAUAUUCUUGAGAAACAUGGCCUGGGUAUUGAAUUUUACUAAAUGUAAUUUUAUGUUGAGCCUGUGAUGAAAAAGUUCUUUUUAUGUUAAGCAAUGCACUCUAAAGUUUUUACAGCUGAAUGACAAGACGUCUGGGGAUUUGCUUUCAGAAAGCUGAGGGGCAGUAACUGAAAAACACAUAGCGAGAUGUUGAUAUUUGUUGAAACUAAAUGAUUAGUACAUUUGGAUUCAUUAGACUGUGCUAUUUUUGUGUAUGUUUCAAAUUUUCCAUAAUAAAAUCUUGAAUUAAAAUAAAAGAAAUUAACAUAAAAUGUAAUGACUGAGUUCUUCAUUCUCCAAUUUGUUCUGAGGGGGAAAAAAAUAGCAAGAGACAAAAUAAUCAACACCCCCUCAUCCGCUCACGGUUGGAUUCCCAGCACAUACAAAAUUAGCGUUAAAAAUGUUUAGCAACUCUAUGGAGGCCAUUUUCUUCUACAACCGACACCACAUUGCUGGCUGUCCUUUGGGAGGUCUCUUGAGGUGUGUGUGCAUGUACACGUGGGUGUGUGUUUUCAGCUUUCUACAUAUAUGAGCUUAUUUUUCAUCUUUAAGGGGAUGGUGAUACAUUUGAAUAGACAUAGCAGAGUGAGCCUGCUAUCUAAUGCCAUAAACUGCUUAACUUAACUUUCUCUUGCUCUUUCCACGCCCUAUAAAGCACAAUUCUGCCCCAUGGUGAGAAUAUCACCCAGCAGUGAUAAGAGCAAGGUGUCAUUGCAGAUUUUAAAUCUUUACAGGUAGGUGGCUCCUUGGCUGUUGCUCUGAUAGUUUGUGGGGGCCUCACCAUCUCCUUUUGGGAGGUGCCAUAGAAACAAGCAUGGUGGGACUGGAGGAGAGCCAGGAAACUCAUGUACUUGGGUGAAAUUAGAGUAUGGAGCAGAGAUAUAAACGCUCUAAACAUCCUGAAAAAACUAAAAUCUUUUCCCAAAAAUACGCAGUUAAAAAAAUCUUUCCAUGUGUUUGCUGGCCAUCUGUAUGUCUUCUUUGGAAAAAUGUCUAUUCAGGUCCUCUGCCCAUUUUUUGAUCAGAUGAUUUGCUUUUUUGGUGUUGACUUGUAGGAGUUCUUUAUACAUGUUGGGUAUUAACCUCUUACUGGAUAUAUCGUUUGAAAAUACCUUCUCCCAUCUAGUAGGUUCUGGCCAUUUAUAGCCAUAUGUAAUAUUAUGCCAUGACAAGAGGGAAUAAUGCUAAGUGAACUCAGUCAGUCAGAGACAGAAAGACAAACACUGUGGGAUUUCACGCACAUGCAGAAUUUAAGAAACAAAACAAAAUAAAAAAGA